AGCUUCGGCUAGGAGUGGCGCACGGGUGCGUAACACGUGGGUAACCAACCCUCUAGACGGGGACAACCGAGGGAAACUUCGGCUAAUACCGGAUGUGCCGUGGAGGUUUUCGGACCGCCAUGGGAAAGCUCCGCAAGGGGCGCUAGAGGACGGGCCCGCGGCCCAUCAGCUAGUUGGUGAGGUAAUGGCUCACCAAGGCAAAGACGGGUAGCUGGUCUGAGAGGAUGAUCAGCCACACUGGAACUGAGACACGGUCCAGACUCCUACGGGAGGCAGCAGUGGGGAAUAUUGCGCAAUGGGCGAAAGCCUGACGCAGCCACGCCGCGUGUGCGAUGAAGGUCUUCGGAUCGUAAAGCACUGUGGGGAGAGAAGAAUCAAGCCGGUGAAGAGCCGGCCCUGACGGUAUCUCCUUAGCAAGCACCGGCUAACUCCGUGCCAGCAGCCGCGGUAAUACGGAGGGUGCAAACGUUGCUCGGAAUCAUUGGGCGUAAAGCGCACGUAGGCGGCCAUAUAAGUCGGAUGUGAAAGCCCUGGGCUCAACCCAGGAAGUGCAUUCGAAACUGUAUGGCUUGAGUCCCGGAGGGGCCCAGAGAAUUCCCGGUGUAGAGGUGAAAUUCGUAGAUAUCGGGAGGAAUACCAGUGGCGAAGGCGCUGGGCUGGACGGUUGACUGACGCUGA
rnacentral:rRNA from 1 species